CCUACGGGUGGCAGCAGUGGGGAAUAUUGCACAAUGGGGGAAACCCUGAAGCAGCAACGCCGCGUGGGUGAUGAAGUACUUCGGAUUGUAAAGCCCUGUCAGCAGGGAAGAAAAUGACGGUAUCUGACCAAGAAGCACCGGCUAACUACGUGCCAGCAGCCGCGGUAAUACGUAGGGUGCAAGCGUUACCCGGAUUUACUGGGUGUAAAGGGAGCGUAGACGGGAAGGCAAGUCUGAUGUGAAAGCCCGUGGCUUAACCACGGGACUGCAUUUGAAACUGUGUUGCUAGAGUGUGGGAGGGGUAAGUGGAAUUCCUGGUGUAGCGGUGAAAUGCGUAGAGAUUAGGAGGAACACUGGUGGCGAAGGCGGCUUACUAGACUGUAACUGACGUUGAUGCGCGAAGGCGUGGGGAGCAAACAGGAUUAGAUACCCUUGUAGUC
rnacentral:rRNA from 1 species